rnacentral:rRNA from 1 species
UACGGAGGAUCCAAGCGUUAUCCGGAUUUAUUGGGUUUAAAGGGUGCGUAGGCGGCCUAUUAAGUCAGGGGUGAAAGACGGUAGCUUAACUAUCGCAGUGCCCUUGAUACUGAUGGGCUUGAAUGUACUUGAGGUAGGCGGAAUGUGACAAGUAGCGGUGAAAUGCAUAGAUAUGUUACAGAACACCAAUUGCGAAGGCAGCUUACUAAAGUAUGAUUGACGCUGAGGCACGAAAGCGUGGGGAUCAAACAGG